rnacentral:pre_miRNA from 1 species
UGCAGUCACCCAUAAAGUAGAAAGCACUACUAAACAGCACUGCAGGGUGUAGUGUUUCCUACUUUAUGGAU